rnacentral:lncRNA from 1 species
AUGGAUUUCUCUUGCAGGAUACAAUUUCUCUUUUAUAGCUCUAGUUUCUCUUGUUUGCAGUCAGACAAAGGCUAUUUUGAUUCCACCAUCUUAGAUCUCCUCCCAGAGCAGCAAUCUCUUAAAAGAGUCCUGAAGAAACUGGGAUUUAUGAUCUUGCAAGUCACAGACUUGGUCUUGGAAUCCCUGAUGGAGAAGCUUCCAACUCUUCCACAGAGUCAUCACCCUGGAGAACGGAGCCCAGAGCAGCUGGCAGCUGACAAAGGAACUCACUCCAUGGCCAAAAAUGGAGAACCAGCCAGUUUUCGACAGAACACUGAGAACAGCUGAGACAUUGAAAAGCACUUGACGCUGACAUCGGACACUGAAAAGCAAAACCCCUCGAUUUGGGAGUCUCUAAUUCCAUUCUUCUCUUCAAGCCAAGCAGCUACACUGAGCUUGAUCCAUGAGAAAUCUCACCACUGUGGCUGAGCACAUGCUUCAGAGAGCACCUGAGCUGACAUCACUCCCCUGCCCUUUCUCAGAUUCUAUUUUCUUACUCGUCUAGGGACUGUGGGCCUGAUUGUUCUAAUCCAAAUGGAUGUCCAACACUAAACACAUUCUCUUCCCUUCUCUCUCUUUAACCCAACCCUCAAUUUCUCUGGGUUCCAUGGCCACUAACUAACCUCACAGAACUAAAGAGAAAUGGCGCAGUCAUAAGUGAGCAGUCACCUUCUCCCUCCUCCCAGUCCUCUGGGAGUCUCUGAAGUCUCUGUCCCCACUGACACUUUCACUCUGUAUGUAAAAUUAUACUUAAGAAUCUUAUUAAUGAG